AUGAACGCUGGCGGCGUGCUUAACACAUGCAAGUCGAACGAAGCAUUUGCGACAGAUCUUUUCGGAGUGAAGUUGCUUAUGACUGAGUGGCGGACGGGUGAGUAACGCGUGGAUAACCUGCCUCAUACAGGGGGAUAACAGCCGGAAACGGCUGCUAAUACCGCAUAAGCGCACGGUACCGCAUGGUACAGUGUGAAAAACUCCGGUGGUAUGGGAUGGAUCCGCGUCUGAUUAGCCAGUUGGCGGGGUAACGGCCCACCAAGGCAACGAUCAGUAGGGGUUCUGAGAGGAAGGUCCCCCCACAUUGGAACUGAGACACGGUCCAAACUCCUACGGGAGGCAGCAGUGAGGAAUAUUGGUCAAUGGGCGAGAGCCUGAACCAGCCAAGUAGCGUGCAGGACGACGGCCCUAUGGGUUGUAAACUGCUUUUAUAAGGGAAUAAAGUGAGUCUCGUGAGACUUUUUGCAUGUACCUUAUGAAUAAGGACCGGCUAAUUCCGUG
rnacentral:rRNA from 1 species